ncrna:Prevotella melaninogenica DNF00666 L13-Bacteroidia ribosomal protein leader
GGGGAAUUUUCUUAGAACCCCAUACGAUACGUGUUAAUAGUGUUGUCUUUGGCCGGGCAGCAUGGUUAGGUCAAGC